ACCACACAGUUGGUGGAUUUCAGACGGCCAUGGACUUCGGUCUUACUGGCAUGCAGAGAAGACAUGGAGGUGUUUAAGAAAUACUGGGUCUGAAAGUGGCCCAAAGGAUUGUGAGUUUGGUAACCUUUGAAGCAGAACCCCGCCCAUCCCCGUGACAAGCUCCAAGAAGAGCCCUUUGGGCCAGCCCCCACCAUCACACUGGUACCAUCAGAAGCCGGGGGAAUGAUGAGCAGAAGUCCUGGGACACAGCCCCAUUGGGAGUUCAGAACAGCAGAGGAGCCUAGUCACCUUUUUGUCGUAUUUGCACUGUCGGAGUCUCUGAA